AUGAAUGGGUCAGCUCCCUGGGCUCAGUGCCUUCCCGGCAGAGGCGUGAUUACCGCUGAAGAACGGAGCCUGGGUCCGGGAGCAGAUGUGGCUUCUGACAGAAGCGGCCAGGUGUGCGGCCUUGCACACCCACUCUUGCGUCAGCUCACCCCCAGCUUAUCUGGAAGGCAGCAGAGGGCUACUCAGGGCUUAAGGAAGCUACAGCAGGCACGUGUGGAACUGACCUUAGCUGCUAGAAGCAGGCUCUCGGGAAGGAAAACCAGGGCCGGAUGCCUCUCACCUCUCUAUCUGCAUCUGUCUGGUGUAAACGGCUCUCUCUCCCUCCCUAUCCUUCUUGCUCUCUCCUGUGCGCCCCAGUGCAAUCAAUAUUCUGCUCCAUCGCAGCUUCGGGACCUGACAGGCUGUGUUUGCCAUUCCUGUGCUGACUCAUCCAUGGAGCCCAUCACGGGCCAAGUGCUCCCUCUGGCCAGAAAUGCUCCUCAGUCAGAUCUCCAACUCUGGCUUAUCUUUGCUCCAAUCGGUUUCCUUUUUCCUUUUCCCCAGAAUGUCAUUUCGGUUUCCUGUGCCCUGCCAGCCUGGGAGUCCCAGAGAGGCAUCAACACAGGCUCGGGGGGCUGCAGGACACUGAUGGAAGUUGGGCGCGGGAGAGCGUUGUCCCUCAAUGUCAGCUGUCAGGUGAUAGAGAUUUCCAGCUGGCGGAACCUCAGAGAUGACUGCUUUCAACGUUCCCCAGCCACAGAGGUGGAGCCAGAGGGAUGCCAAGACGGGCUACGUCUCCAAGGAGCUGGUCCAUAGCUGCUCAGACUGGAUUACACAGGGCUCCGACGACAAGCUAACGCUCCGUCUAGAGACUUGAUACAUAAACAGGUGAGUGAUUCAUACAUUUGCUCAUUGUGUUCUGCUGCAGACAUUAGUUUGGCUGAACCUUUGGUAUGUUUCUUAGACCCAUUACUUGAACGGCAUCUAUUCUGUUAAUUUGCUCAUGAUAUGCAAGUUCCACCAAAAUUCAGACUUAAAGCAUAGGUCUG
rnacentral:lncRNA from 1 species